ACCUGGUUGGCUCAGUUGGUAGAGCGUGCAACUCUUGAUCUCGGGGUCAUGAGUUCAAGUCCCACACUGGGCA
rnacentral:tRNA from 1 species